UGGUAUUUGAAGCAGCUCAUUUCCAGAAACUUUCCUCCCAGGUCCAUGAGGGGCCUAGCAGGAGUCAGAGUUCAGUGAAUGACUGGCUGACGAGACAGGUAAGCCACUGGCUCCCCUUUGCAGCUGUCAUCACAUGUUGUAUGAUCCUUCAUCCAACAAGUAUCAGUGUCUCUCUCUUCUCUCUUUAGAAAUGGCUGAUGGUGCCCCUGAAUGUACAGAUUCAGCCCCAGAGUCCUUGCCCAGCCUAGUAACACACUCCUUGCCAUCUGACCUCACUUGCUGGCCUGGCUUCACUUCUUGCUGCACUCCUGCAUGAGUCCUGCCCUCCAGCCUUGCUGCCUGAGUAGAGGUAACAGCAGCAGGCACAAACAGAAUACCUGCCCAGUUUUGGGUCCUGUCCUGAGGGUUUAUGCAUAUGAACUCACUUAAUCCUUUGCACAACACCAGAAGUAGGUGCUACCACUAUCGCCAUUUCGCACUUAAGGAAGCAGCCUUGGAGCAGACAGUAAUUCACUGGAUACAUGGCUAGUAAGUGAUGAGCAGAGGCAGGAUUCCAAGUUGAACACUUUGGCUUCAGUUGAUGGUUUUAACCACUGCAACAGACCUCCUCUCAAAAUGUCUCCUGCUGCUGUUCUAUGUCCUGUGUACUUUUGUCUUGCUGUUCUUGACUUUUGGCAAGCCAGUUUUUCUUUCAAGCCCCAUUCAACUGUUGCUUGACUCUCUCCUGCCCUCCUCACUAUAUUCCUUCCCACCCCACCCCAUCCCUGCUGUUCUCUCCGCUGGUCUCUGUAGUCAGAACACCACUGGCUCAUUCUGCACUGAGGUGACCACUUUUCCCACAUCCAAUCUCUGAGAACCAGCUCAGGAACCCCAUGAAUAUUUGAGUCCUUGCAUCUCAGAACCCCAUGCCCUGCUGGGGUAGCUCAGUGCAGGCCCUGAAGGAGAGAAAAUAGCUGAUACUCAACCAAGCUCCAACAGCUUCCCGCCUGAGAAGAAACCCCCUAGAUCAGAGCCUCUUAACCUUUUGCAGGUCAUGGAACCCCUUUAGACCUCCAUGAAAGCCGUAGAAUCUUCUCCUUGGGGGGAAAAAAUCUCACAAACAUAUCCCUCUGGUAGUUAAACUCUGAGGCUUCCUCAAACUCUUAAAGCCCUCCCCAGGGAAGGAACCCUGCCAUUUUCAAAGCCUUUCUGGGAAACAGUCAUUUCAGGGACCUUUAUUUCAUUGAACACUUCCAAUCCCGUGAGAAGCAGACCUUUCCCUGCCUCCCCCAAGUCACACAGCUGGUAGAAGACAUAGUGGGCACUGGCAUUCCAGGCCUCUGAUCUCUAAACUCUUGCUUGACUCAGCACUCAUCUUAGAACCUAGAAAGCUGUAGGCAUGGGCCUAGCCUAUGAGGGAGUGGCUACAAUGGGGCAGUAGCAAUUCUUAAAUUAUCUCCACAGCACCUUGGGAAAGAAUCUGGGAGGUAACCCUGGCUGAAGGCCAGGAUGCUGGAGACCCUGUGCCUGAGCUUACUGUAGUUAAAGGGUAGAGUGGCUUGGGGAUGUGCUGGCAGCAAGCCUGCCAGAGCAGAAUGGCCCGGAUUCUGGGAGGAAGCAGAUAGUGGUCAGAAUAGGAUUUCCUGAGGUUCCUGCAAGGUCAAGGAGGAGGAACUCUGUUCCUCUUCCAGCCCCACACCCAGUGAACAACUUCAGGGGAG
ensembl:lncRNA